CAGAGAGUAGUUUAGCGCUAUAAUGCUAACUUUGGGAGUUAGUGGCAGGAGUUGGAGUCUCCUCUCUCUGA
rnacentral:tRNA from 1 species